UUCGAUCCUACGGCUCCUCUUUGUAGUACGAUUAUCCCACACUCAAUUUGAAUCUUGGAUUCACCGAAACUUGUAAAGUGCAUUCUAGGAGCUUGAUGUGGGCAACAACUUGUAAAUUGUAGAUAUACGUCACCGCCGAUGUUCUGCUUAAACCAAGGACUAGGUAUACAAUUAACUCGAUAUAGAUAUCCUAUAUAUUUAAGAACUUCAUCCCCACUACUUGAUUUAUCUCAACAUGCAGCAUAGCCACAUCAUCAUCCAAUCACAUCCAGCCAGGUCGCACCAUGCAAUCCACUCAAGCCCACCUCCUCAACUCUGUGCCAGAAAAAAAUCCCCGAAAGAAAACACGAAAUCUUUAGGAUUCCCCACUGCCCAUGCCCGAAGAAACUCCCUCCUGCUCCUCUUCCCGCCGCCGGUGGUAGGAGCCACUUCCUCAUCCUGUUCCUCAGCUCCGGAUCCUCCUCGCGGCGGCUCUCCGGUUACUCCUCGCGGCGGCGGUGGCAUCAGACGCGGUGGCCAUCCCUAUCGCGCGCCCCGAUUCCUGCGGGAUCCAGCAGGAUGAAUCCGUGAUGUGACCAUCCCCCUCGCUGCCCGAGUACGUGCGAACAACAUUGAGAAGGAUCAGCUCGCCGGUCUACCACCGCCCCUUCCCCUCGCCUCCUCGCUGCCGCCAUGGCCUGAAGCAGGCAUCCCUGAGCAGCGCCUGUGCACAUGCCGUGGCUCCCCUCUGGUCCCUCCGUCGCGCAGCCGACCGCAUAAAGGGUGACAGCCAAUGCUCAGAGAAGUGCUUAAUCAAACAACGGGGCCAUUGAACAUUCAGUCGUUGUUUGUCUUCCUCCAGCCGCGACCUUCUACUGUCGCAAUGGUGGCCUUUCUCCGCAAGCUGACCUUUGGCAACUGGGGAGGAAGCUGUCAUGGUCAUUCGGUGCUUCAUUUUAUUGGUCAUGGGCGUGCGGACAAGGACGUACAAUUUCAAACUACAUCGAUGACUUCUUCAAGUUGAAGGUCAUGUGCUCUGUUCUUCAGUAUUUGUUUGUUUUUUCUAAGAAAAUAUCACAGCAACUGUACGCCACUCCUUCCGCCCUUAUGCAACCCAGCCGCUCCAACCGUCUCAUACUGUCUUAUCUUCCCCGUUGUUGUGUACAACCACCCAACGACCUGAUUUUCUCCAAACAAAAGAAAACAUAUGCUGUAUGUACCUUAAAUAAUUGGCAUUUGACGCUCCAUCUCCUAAUCUCUUCCACUUCCUCCCCCCAACGUUCUCCAUAUAAGAAACUGAUGGAUCGCCUUUUGAAGUCUGUGCUUUGCCUCACCUUAUUGCCUUCCCAUCGUCCUCCAGCACGGGUGGGUUCAGCCGCACCACUCAUACUGCACCGAUGGUGAUACUCUCUCCUUCUGAUGUUUCUUUAUGCAGAAUUUUUAAUCUAUGCCAGCAAGGUCAAUGUAAAUGGUAGGAGAUUGCAGUUUGAAAAUAAAUCUAGUUGUUUGAUGAAAACCAAAGCAAGCCAGUGAUCUUGCUUCAGUCCUAUUCCUGCUAAUCUAUGGUGAAGCUCAAACUGAUUCAAACAAAGGUUGAAGCCUGCAUGCAGACUUGCCAAACAUGGCAUCUUUUUUUGUAUGUACAGUCUGCCAAGACAGUACUUUUGUUGUUCCAGUUGUUUGAUGUAGGUAUACUUAUAGCCUAAGAUCUGGAGUGAAAUCCCACCAUGCAACAAAUUGUGCGUAUUAAAUUGAUUUGUAUGUAUGGAAUUUUGUUAUCACAAUCAGUUUAUUUAAAUUCAGAUCAUUGCAAGAGAAGUAAUUUUUUUCUCUUGGGUAUGUAUCUAUUUUUGUAAAAUAUAUCAAGUUUAGUUAAUUUGAUUUCAUUGUUUAUAUAUGUAUAAAGUUAGCCAGAUUGUCUGCAUGUUGUAUAAGUGCAAUUGCAUGGCCAAGCAGCUUUGAUCCAUGAUGUUAUUAUCUG